rnacentral:lncRNA from 1 species
CUGGUCACAACAAUCUUGCUUCCCUGGGCUGCAGCGAGGAGUGGAGUUCGUAGUCUAUCCCAACUUUCCCAAUCAAGAGACUCCACAUCCCAGACGUCGUCGAGAACCAGCAGAAAUUUCUUGUUGCCAAGGUUGUCUUUGAGUCGACGUUGAAGUAAAUCUAGGCUGUCAUCGGAAGUAGGUCUACAACCGAUCGCCUCAAGAAUUGAUUUGGUUACACCGAUAAGAAGAAACUCAGUGGAAACACAGACCCAUGCUUUCAGGUGGAAGUGUUCCUUCACUCUGUCAUCGUUAUAGAGAAGGUGAGCGAGUGUGGUCUUGCCGCUGCCGCCCAUGCCCACUAUGGACAUCACAUCUAUGACGUUGUUGCCUGUCGUAGUUUCCUUGUCAGAAAGCAACCACAUCACCAUCUCCUCCUUAAUUUCAUCCCUGCCAUACACGAAGGACUCGUCUACCAAAGAAGAGGAUGGUAAUUUUGGUGACAGUCUCUCACCAUCACCUUCUUUCAGCCCAAGCUUCUCUUUUUCUUCAGCGAUAUCUUCAAGCUUAGCAGUCAUCUCCUUCACCCUGGACUCCAUGCUUUGAUUGGAAAAUGGAGCCUUAACCCUGGUAGAGAACUUGUUCCACACCUGAUAAAUUCCACCAGGUUGGGAGUCAGCAACUUCAAUCUCGCACCGCAAGGCUUCGGUAGCGAUCUCGUCCAACAGGUCCUCCGCAUGAUACACAGCAUCCUUAACCUGGAAUAGCCACUCUUUGACUAGUGGGUCUGAAAUUUGCUUCAUCUCCGCAUCAUUGAGCACUUUGUGGACAACCAGCAAUUUCCUCUUCAAUUUGUUGAGGAGUUCAUGGCUAAGCUUCUGUCCCCGGAUGAAGUUCAUCAACUCCGGAGAAGCCAACCUGUCGAAUAGAACUUGAAGUGAAGCGGAGAGGAGUACACCCAGGCACAAAUAUCUAAAGCCGUAUUUUCAAAAAAAUUUGGUUACCAACCAAGAAAUACCAUGUGGUUUUGGCCUCUUAAAUAUUCAAUCACAAGUACAUUCUAUAUGAUUUUAAGCUACUAGAGAAGUAUGAAAAAGAAAAUUAUGAGAAUGUCAACCAGUGUGGAAACUAAUUUCCUCAAGUAACUUCUCUCAAUAUCCUUUUCCUUUGUGACAAUAUUAAAGACCUAUGGUUACAAGUUUCAACUUAAUUUUUGUCUCCGGACUUACCAUGCGAACAUACUUGAGUCUGAUUGUAACUCAACCCAACCAAGCAAGGGCCAUCCAUAGUUGAUACCAUUGACGUUGGUUGAUGGAAUUGAGUCACAAGCUAGUCCAGCUUGACUAAAAGUCAAGUAUACUCUCAAAACGAACUUUCUUGAGAUUGAGAACAAACCUUGUAUCAUAAAAAGUUCAGAAGAAUAAAUCCGGAGAAUAUUUAAUAUAGUCAACAACGAACUCUUCUUCUUCAUAAGAGCUGGUGAAUUAGCUCAUAAUGUAGAAGAGUAAAUUUUCUAAAGCAUGAAGAUGGGGAAUAAGCUCAAAAUCAUCAUUUCUAUACAAUAUCAAAAAGUUCAAUGAGAGAAUUGUACUCAACUACUUUAAGAUGAUAACAACAUCAAAAUAAAAAACAGAACCGCAAAAGUCUUAUAGUCAAGACAAUUUAAUUACAAUAUUCGUCGUGGGAAUUUUGCGGUAUAGACCUUCAUUCAGACUUGGACUUUUUAAUGUUCUUUAUGAAUAAACAAUUGGCUCCUGCUCAAAUGAAAAAUGAGAACCAAUGCUUAUAGUCACAGACAGAAGUGUAUGUACGCAUGGCAAUGCCAAAUUUGCAAAUGAUCAUUUGGUCAUAGUCAAGACCAAGAAAAUCCAAAACAAGAACAAUAGAAACAUGUGUACCAACUACAUAACAAAGAAAUGUGUCAAUCUGCUCACCUUUUGAAGGUUGUCCACUGGGUUAGUGCAAAAUAGACUGACUUUUUUUAUAGGGGCCCUCAAUCAGUGCUGGAUGCUGAACCAGAAGAGAGUUUAGAUACUAAAAAAUUCUAUAAAUUUAAUACCAUAAAAUACCUCACAUAAAAAUGUUGCUUUUGGAACUGUAGUUUUCCAAAUGUUCCCAAAUUUAAAAAUACAUUGGCAUAAAGUUAUUGAUGUUUACCUCAUAUUUUUUUCCAUGGUCAUAUCAAACAUUGUUCUCAUAGUAAGUCUUCUAUAUGCUGAUCCUUGUUACUUAAUAUGAGACACAGAAAAGAAAAAGUAGUGAUCAAUUUAUUUUGAUAUCAAAGGGAGCAAAGUCAUAACAUGUACAUUACAUAUGUAGCCAACUAAAUACAUAUUAUGAUGUGGGUAAGAUUCAAUACAUAUUUCAAUAACCAUGAAUUACCUAAAAAUGUAUCCACAUGUUCUUACAAGGGAUAAACACACAAGUAGCUAAAAGUCAUCUCUGCCCAUUCCGAAAGGUAAAUUGAUGGUGUCAUGAAAAUAUGAUAAAUGACUUCUUUAAAAUAUGAAUUAUCAUGGAUCAAUCUUUCUUUACUUCAUUAGAAAAUUCUUAAAAAGAAAAAAAGAAAAAAAAAAAAAGAAAGACAGGAUUGAGCAUGCUACAUAACCAAAUUCCCAAUAAGAAGACUAGAAAAUGAGUUAUGGAGACAUGCAAUUGUAGAGAUUGUUAGAAAUUUUGAAACAUGAGUACUUGGGCAGCUACUUUAUGAAUUGGAACUUAACUUUUCUAAAGAAAAUAGGUUUAAGCAUAGAACAAAUUACCUAACUGUAUAUUAAUGCAGUACCACUUUCAUUAAAAUAGCAGACCAUUGAUCACUAUUUUUGGAGUUGAGAGAGGGCAAUUGCAUAUAUACAAGAUCAUGGGAUUAUGUUCCCUCUGGAACUCGAUUUUGUUUAUCAAUAGCCCGUGUACCACAUUCUUUUCUGCUCCCCCUUCAUCUGCUUGGCAACAGGGCAAUUGAAAAAAAUUUCGUCUUUAGAAUCUGUACCCAAGAAAGAAUACCCAUACAGGAAACAAUCUGGACAACCUCCCAUCUUCAUCAAGCAAUACAAUGGUUGUUAAAUCCACAAAUCCCACUACCAUGGCUACUGGUGUCUAUGCUGCGAAUGUCAUCAGAAAUUUCCUACACGACAGACCAAGAAGAAGUAUUUGUUUUUAAAAUCAGAAGCUUCUAUAUAUAAGUAAAGCAUCUUAUACAAAGAGUAUAGAUUUAACUUGUGUCUUUAAAACUUACAUUUUAAAAAAUUUUAAAAUUUGAGAGAAUAAGAGCUUGUUGGACAAAGUUUUAAAAAAUAAUUUUUCAUUUUUAAAAAUGGAAAACAGUUUUAAAAAAUUAAUAACAUUGUUUGGUUAUUCUUCUCUAUUUCCCGUUUUUAAAAACAAAGUAAAAUAAAGAAUAUCUUCUAGAAAACAAGUAAAAGUUAUUUUCAUCUGUUUUUUAAAAUAAUAGAAAAACACAUGCAUUCUAUUAUUUAUCUUCUACAUAAAAUUAUCAUUUGUCAAUUAAAAUUAUCAUUUGUUUUUAAAAAAAUUGUUUCAUAAUGAAAAAAAAAUUAUUUAUCUUUAACUAAUAUAUAAUUGUGUAUUUAAUUUUUAUUUUUUUAAUAAGACUUAACUUGAAUUUGAUUUCAUAUUAUUAUAAAUUAAUUUUAUAAAAUAAAAAUAAUCCAUUGUUUUAAAUUUGAAAACAAUUUUUAAAAAUAAAUUUUAAAAAACACCACCAAAUGAGCCCUAAAUUUUUUUUGAUACCUUCAUUGUUUUAAACAGUUUUUAAAAUUAUUAAAUUUUCAAUGUAAGCCUUUAAGAGUUAAAAUACAAAAGUUACUGUCACUUAAUUUUAGGCUUAACAAUGUAGGAGAUUUAAGUGGAGGCAAGGAAUUAAGCAGAUAUAUUCUUGAGAUUAGAAAUUUGGGUGGAACAUAAAUUUUGUAAAGAAAAUAAGUUUAAGCACACAAAAAUUACCUGCCCAUGUGUUGGUGCAGUGCCACUUCCAUUAAAAUAGCUCACCAUCGAUCACUAUUUUUGGAAUGUGAGAUAUAUAACGCCAUUCUUGCCCUUUCUCAAAUCGGAGCUGUUGUUUCAGUAAAGGACACCUGCUGACAUACAGAUAAGAGAGGGAGUCUGGUAGUCUCUCUUUUGUCAAGUAUUGGAGCUUAGGGCAAUUGAAGAGAAUUAAGUUUUCAAGAGUGGUGACGUGGUGAAGACCCGCUUCUGUCAAGGAUUAGAGACUUUUGCACGAGUAGAUUCUUAAUUCCUUGAGAGAGAUAAGGCGUUGAAGAACAGAUCUUGUCGAGAAUUGAAGCUCAGGGCAGUUCUCGAUGUGUAAUUGUAGAAGAGAGGUGAGUUGUUGAAGCCCCUUGUUGUCAAGAGACUUGAGAUUUGGAAGACUAUAGAUUGAAAGAUAAGUUAGAGAAGAGGGCAGCAGACACUCCUUGGAAAAUAAUUCCACUCCUUCACAUCCACCUUGGAUUAUGAAACGAGUAAGAGAGGUCAGUUUUUGCAAAUCCCAGUCCACCUGUGACGUGAGUUGGUUGCAGCGCACUAUUGCAAGUUCCCGUAGGUUGGAAGGCAAACCCUCUCUGUGCAACAACAAUUCGGGACAAUCCUCUAAACCCAGUUUCUGCAGAGAUGAAUGGGUGUGCGCCAGCAAUCUGAGCUUGGAGCAAUUGCGAAUCUCAUGGUAUAUCGAGUCGAGAGUGGGCAGUUGGAUGUAUACAAGAUUAGGGCACCGAUGGAUCUUCAAAUUACGAAGAGAUGUGGGAUCUCCCUCUGAAAUCGAGAUGCAGAGCUCCUCAAGCCCCUUAAGACCAUUUAUUUCGAAAUCAGUCAACCUGGGGAAGAUGUUCAAUAUUGAGAAGGACAACAAGAGAGAAUCACAGGUACCGCCAUUGAUUGAUAGAUUUUCAAGAACCGGGUGAUGGCAUCUGAACAACUUAGGUAGAAGAAGGUCCAAUUUGGUACAAUCAGAGAUUGAUAACGAUUUCAAUGUACUGGGUAAGCCAACUUUGUUUGGGGAUCUGUAAAAAGAGCAAUCACAAAUUUCCAAACUGUACAUGUUGGUUUUCAGGAUUUCCUCCUCUAGUAGAGACUCCACAGAAUCACAUUUUCUAAUGUAGAGAAUGUGGGGAACCAUUGGAAGUUCCUUCAACUGAGAGACCUUUGAAAUUUCAAUUUCUGAAGUUUGACUAGCUGUGAACCCACAAGUUUGCCUUUUCAACUGCAAUUCACGGGCAGCAUGAACGUUGAGUGUAGGCACAAGCAGUUGCAGACAAUCUUCAAGUUUAAGUUCCUGCAAUGAAGAAAGGUGCAUUGGUAAUUCCCCAGUGAGUUUUGGACAUAGCCUUAUAGAAAGCUCUUGGAGACGAGGGAAUUCUCCACAUAUGCCUCCACAACAUAACCAUUUCUCCCAAUUGGACAUAUCUUCAAAUGAUAGAGUUUGUAGGGAUGGGAAGGAGGGAUGAAGCGAGGAAGAAGAAUUCCCAUAAAACUCACUACCCACCCUCACUACUCCUUUCAUUUCAGAGAUCUCUAUAUGUUCAAGACAAGGUAGCUGCCCCAGUGGCGGCAAUGUUGAGCAAUUCCCACAAUUCGAAAGCUGAAGGGAUACGAGAUUUGAAAAUGAUCCGUCUCCAAGCCAAUCUGGAAAUGUUAGACCAGGAUAGUGUUGAAUGGACAGUUUUUCUAAAUUUGGAUGAGGUGUUAGCCUGUUGAGAAUAUCAUCUUGUAUAGCAUCAUGACUAAUCCCCCGACUCCAAUUCAAGGAUAACUCAUCGAGGUAUUUCUUAUCCUUCAUAUUUGCCUGCAAUGCAUCCUCAACACCCACCACAUUCUCCAUUUUUGAAAUUUCAAGUCUUCCUCUAAUCUCUGAAAGCUUCCACAAUUCUCCAAAUCCGAAUCCACUUUUUUGGCCCACAGUAAAAUUAGGCAAUUUCUGCAAACUUUUUAAUUGAUCCAUAUCAUUUGGCAUUUCUUUCAAUGAAUCAGUCUCGCUAACAUCAAGAUAGCGCAAAUUAAUCAACUUCCCCAUUUUUGAAGGCAAUUCAAGAAGAGAUUGACAAUUCCUCAGCAUCAUCGUUUGCAAAUAGCAUAAACAACAUAUUGAUUCAGGUAAUCUUUUAAUCUUUGUUGCAGAGAGAUCCAAGUAACGCAAUUGUUUUAAAUUGUGUAUUGAAUUAGGCACAUCUGUUAUGUAGUAUUCACACAAUGACAACACGCGCAAGGAUUUAAAUUUUGGUAAUAUAUUUUGUAAAACUCUUGUACUCAAUUGAUAAAAAGGAUAGUGCUGUAAUCUCUUCACCUCUAAGAAUGUUCUGAGAUGUUUGGCUUCACCAACAGGCUCAAAAGUUUCAAAUACAACUACCGGGUACUCGUCACUUUUAAAGUGGAGAAAAUGGCGAGCCUUAUCAGAUAUUUUUUGCAGCUUACAAUCUUCCAAUCGAAUGCAAAAUUCUUGGGAGAUAUGUUGAGCCAAGUCAUGUAUUAGAUCAUGCAUUACAAAGCAUGAUUCUUCUUCUCUAAUGCACUUUUGAAAGAAUGACUUUGCUAAAAGUUCAUUAAAAUACGAAUCACCUACCUCUUCCAUUCUUCUAUUACUUUGUCCCGAGUGUAAAAGCCCUUCUGCCAUCCAUAAUAGAAUCAGCUUCUCUUUGUGGAAUUCAUAGUCCUUGGGAAAAAUUGAACAGUAAGCAAAACAACGCUUCACAGGUAGGGAAAGAUGCCGAUAACUCAAUCUAAGAGAUGGAAGAAUUUCAUGAUCAGUCUGAGAAUGCCAUGUUUUGCUAUUCAAAAUAUCUUCCCAUUCUCUUCUUUCGGGCUUAGAGUACAAGAGACUCCCCAGUGCUUUCACAGCCAAAGGCAAUCCUUGGCACUUCUUCACAAUCUCUCUGCCUAUGGGUUCAAGCUGAGGAUAAGCGCAGGGGUCUCCAUUUGGAAAUGCAAGUUUUGUAAAUAGGUACCAACUAUCUUCAGGGCUUAAUGUUCCCAGCUGAUGAGUAUGGAUUGCACGCAUGACUUUCGCAACAGUUUCGCUACGACUGGUCACAACAAUCUUGCUUCCCUGGGCUGCAGCGAGGAGUGGAGUUCGUAGUCUAUCCCAACUUUCCCAAUCAAGAGACUUCACAUCCCAGAUGUCGUCGAGAACGAGCAGAAAUUUCUUGUUGCCAAGGUUGUCUUUGAGUUGACGUUGAAGCAAAUCUAGGCUGUCAUCGGAAGUAGGUCUACAACCGAUUGCCCCAAGAAUUGAUUUGGUUACACCGAUAAGAAGAAACUCCGUGGAAACACAGACCCAUGCUUUCAGGUGGAAGUGUUCCUUCACUCUGCCAUCGUUAUAGAGAAGCUGAGCGAGUGUGGUCUUGCCGCUGCCGCCCAUGCCCACUAUGGACAUCACAUCUAUGACGUUGUUGGCUGUUGCAGUUUCCUUGUCAGAAAGCAACCACUUCACCAUCUCCUCCUUAAUUUCAUCCCUGCCGUACACGAAGGACUCUUCCACCAAAGAAGAGGAUG